UCAUUUUGCUCAGUGCAGAGUGGCCAAAAGCAAGUUGUAUUGGGAAAAAGAGAAAAAGAGAGGAGAGAAAGAAGGAAAGAAAAGAGAAAGAGAAAAAAAAGGGAAGAAAAAAAACGAAAAAAAAAAAAAGAAGAAAAAGAGAAAGAAAAAGAAAGGAGAAAAAAAGGGGGGUGGGGGAAGGAAACAAAUCAACAAGCAAAACAAAACAAAAAAAGAACCACGGGGAGUAUCUUUGAUUCUGUGUACUUUAAGUCCCUUGGCUUCUCCUGGAAGUUGUCAGUCUUGCUGGUGUUCUGGGGGAGGGGCCUGUUGUGCUGGUUUUCAGGUGUUAGCAGUUGGGGGAGCUGCUGUGCCCCUGCCUGGUGCAGGGCUCAGUGGGGGUUGUUUACCCGUGAGGCCGCAGGAGGAACAGCCCCAGUGGCGGGGCCAGCUCUGGAAACCUGGAUUCAGCUCCGGCAGGAACUCCAGAGCUCUCCGUCUGCAGGGCCUGGAGGCUCCGGGGCGGGGCCGCUGAUCUGCUCAGCUGGGGCAGGAGCGUCCUUGCUGUCCUGGGCCCUCCCGGCCUCUGCCUGUCCCGGGGGAGGCCGGAUCCUGGGCUGUGUCCCGGCGCCCUGUGCUCCGGGGUCUGCGCUGUUGGAUUCGCGCUCCCGGGCCGCGCAACCCCCUCCGCGGAGCCGCCGCCCGAGCCCUUCGAGCUGCUCCUGGAACCGCGCAGCCCCCUCUGCACGGAGCCUCUUCCUCUGCCCGAGCCCCUCCGAGCUGCUCCGGGUCCCGCCGGUCCCGCCGUGCACGCUGCAGCCCUUAGGGAGCUCGGCGCACUCUCCUGGGCGCGCAGUUGCUCUGUUACUGUCUCAGGGAACCCGAGGGCAUCCCCGCCCUCCUGGGUCCUGCUCCAACUCCCUGCGGGCCCCUUUCCCCCGGGAAGGUCGGUGCAGCUCCUGCUCCUCCGGGACGGGGCUCUCCUGUCCUGGGGACACUCGCCCCGGCCUCAGCCCGGCUCCUCGCGGGGCCCCUCCCCCUUGGAGGCCUUUGUUUCUUUAUUUCUUUUUCCCCGUCUUCCUACCUGGAUAG
rnacentral:lncRNA from 1 species